UACAGAGGUCCCGAGCGUUGUUCGGAUUCAUUGGGCGUAAAGGGUGCGCAGGCGGCUUGCUAAGUUUGAUGUGAAAUCCUGGGGCUCAACCCUGGGACUGCAUUGAAUACUGGCAGGCUAGAGUACUGGAGAGGAAACUGGAAUUUACGGUGUAGCAGUGAAAUGCGUAGAGAUCGUAAGGAAGACCAGUGGCGAAGGCGAGUUUCUGGACAGUUACUGACGCUGAGGCACGAAGGCCAGGGGAGCAAACGGG
rnacentral:rRNA from 1 species